rnacentral:tmRNA from 1 species
GGGGGCGAUCGGAAUUGACUGGGUCAUCGUCGAUCAGGGUGGCGUGUCGUGGUUGAUCAGUUGGCCACGUAAAAAGCUGAUCAAACAAUAACUGCAACACCGCAGUACUCUUUGGCUGCCUAGAAAUAGGCUGUCCCGAACAAGGAAUCCCCGUCUGAGGAGUCCGGAAUUCGGUUGCAAAUUCAGACUGGCAACAGCUCAACGUUCGCUCCGGCUGUUGUGAGAUUCGUGGUGAACUAGUGACGGAAGGCUGUGUUCGGUGAGCCUCGUCGUUGCGAACUCAAUCAGCGAACUACACACGUAGAAGCUUUGGUUAAGAGUCCACAGGACGCGGGUUCGAUUCCCGCCGCCUCCACUG